rnacentral:pre_miRNA from 1 species
ACAACAUUCGGACCGUCGGUCUACAGAGCAAUCACACCCGCGUGAAGGAAGAUCUUCCUUUCGUCGU